UUCUUCUUUUAUUUCAUUCAUUUCUCCAUGAUGUUGUUCUCCAUCAGAACUCCUUCUUGAGUUCCCAUUUAAAUAUUCUGUGUCAAAAGCUUGAAUUUCUCUAGUGAACACUUUAGCAAAGGCUAGCAUGGAUGGUUAAUGUGUCUAUUUUUUUCUUAGUCGAAUAAUAGCAAACACAUGUUGAUAGGGCUAUUAAGGAGACAUAUUUUCCAGCAGCUGUUGACUUCAUCAGUUCCACUAUGCAAUGAGUCAUUGGAACUUCUAGAGCCACACAGUUACAACUGAAGAAGUGUGGGUUUCUUUUAUUUUCUUAAAUCGCGAUGCGAGGAUUGGGGAGACUUAGACAUGAAGAAAAUGAA
rnacentral:lncRNA from 1 species